rnacentral:tRNA from 1 species
GGGGAUGUAGCUUAGUGGUAGAGCACUUGCCUAAUAUGUACUAGGGCCUAGGUUCAAUUCCCAUCACCA